rnacentral:rRNA from 1 species
AUUGAACGCUGGCGGCAGGCCUAACACAUGCAAGUCGAACGAGUGGCGGACGGGUGAGUAAUGUCUGGGAAACUGCCUGGUGGAGGGGGAUAACUACUGGAACCGGUAGCUAAUACCGCAUACUAUCGGAUGUGCCCAGAUGGGAUUAGCUUGUUGGUGGGGUAAAGGCUCACCAAGGCGACGAUCCCUAGCUGGUUUGAGAGGAUGACCAGCCACACUGGAACUGAGACACGGUCCAGACUCCUACGGGAGGCAGCAGUGGGGAAUAUUGCACAAUGGGGGAAAGCCUGAUGCAGCCAUGCCGCGUGUAUGAAGAAGGCCUUCGGGUUGUAAAGUACUUUCAGCGGGGAGGCGGUACCUGCAGAAGAAGCACCGGCUAACUCCGUGCCAGCAGCCGCGGUAAUUC